GUAUGAAGGUUGACUUGCAGAUAGGUGGGGUGGAGAGGAAAUAAAACUCAUGUGUGGGGUGUGUCCACAGUGGCAAACGUACAGCUCGCCGUGCAGAUCUCCUGCCUCAGACCUAUGGCUUGUUCAAGGCUGACUUGGACUCAUCCUGAAAGCUACUGAGAGAUGCUGGAAAAGUCAUAGAUGUUCUUCAGAAUUGGGUAAUGUCAGCUGCAGUGGUGAGACGUGUUCCGAAGACGGACGACAGAGCAGCCCAGCUAACGAUGGUGAAUCCGUUGGACGGAGAACUGAUAAGGGCAUGUGGCUGACACAUACAGCUUUGUGUCCGCUGGGUGCUCAGGUCAGGAAAUGUAAUCAAAUUGCAUUUUUUCUGUGAAUGGCAUGUUAAUGUGUUUAAAUUGAUACUGUUUCAGAUUUUCUUCUGUCAUUUUUUGUCAUAUUUAUGAAUAUAAUCAUCAAGUUUUUAACAUCGAAAUUAAGGUCCCAGUGAGAACUCAUUUUAAUUGGCUAAUUGUCUAAAUAUUUUACUAUAAUGCCAAUGAAAUGCAGGUGCAUGCAUGUAUAUGUACAUUAUAUGUAAAUCUCAGUAUAACCUUGUGGGUUGCAUUGAACAUUCAGCAUUCAAUCUCCUGUUUCAUUUGGCUUUACUGAACAUAGCACAUUUCUCAAAUACAUUCAUCUCUAUACUCUUAAAAAGGUUACAAAAAGUGGUAUUAUGCAGUGAAUAACGGUAUUAAAACACUUUCUUUGUUCCUGAAAGAACAGUUAAUAACAAAAAAAAACAUGUUUGUACUGCGAAUAAUAUAAAAAAAAAAAAUGAAGUUCCUUUUGGUGGAAUGGAUAGGUUCUUCAUAGAACCAUCACUGCCAAUCAAAAACAUUGAUUAACAUAUUUAAAAGUUUUUCUUAAUUUUUAGAUUUUUUAGUAUGUCUGUGCUACUUAAUUCAGACUUGAUUAUCUUUUAAUGACACACAAUAAAAACUUUUUGUAAGCAACUGAAUUUCAUAUAAACCCUUUUGAAGCGAAGACAAUUGGCAUUAAAAAUAAAAAUUUUAUUCCAGAAGUCAUGCUACAGCAUUUCGUAAAAACUUACUGGGGCGUAUUUUAUACAGAAUAACAAUUAAAUUAAUUUGAGCAUUUAAAAAUAGACUUUGUAAUAAUUGAUAUUACACUAAAAUUCAUAUUUUGAUACAUUGUAUCAAAUUACACAAAUUACUUUUAUUUAAAAGAUAGAUCAAAUGUCUAAUUUGUAAAGCUACGCAUUGACUCAGUAUUUUACAUAUAUUGCAUUAUGUAAAAUCUCACUAAUUAUUUAACGUAUACAUUCACACGUCGUGUUGCAAUUUUAUUGCAUAGGCAUUUGGUUAAUUCUCUAAUACGUCAUCCUGCAUGCUGAAACAUUCAAUCCUGCUCUUUGUACUUUAUGUAAAGUAAGAAUAAGUGAUAGGGUGAAAACUUGAAAUGUGAAAUCUAGCCAAUAAAAGGUGACACUUUUCUUUUUUUUUUUAAAUGAGAGUGAUUUGGUGCUGUCUUAAGCCAGGCCCACCAUGGAAGCACUGAGAUCCCACAGUCUGCGGGCUGCAACAUCAUCCCUGCCCUGAGGAGCAGUCUCUUUAGGUGCACAAUCACUGCAAAAUGACCAAAUAACAGAGUGAAAUGAUCAUAGUUAAAUGAUAAUGCUCAAAUGACACUGUGUUAAUAAAAGCUUUAAAAACAA